GAGCAGCAGGAGCAGACGAGUCCUGAGGGCCCUGGCUGCAAAGUUGUUUUUCCAUGAAGCUAUGGACCCCAGGUGAUCUAAAUAAGAGAAUAUGGAUAACCUCUCGCUUCGGCAGUGUUAAUCAGAUACCACUGGCCUGUGAGAAUGAAGAUCCACACCAAGCCAUUAUCCGUUAUUUAUACGGAAGACCUAUCGAUGAUCGGGAAGAAUUUGUGGCAUAAUUAAUUCUGGCUCGGUGAUUCCUGACUGACUAAUUUAGCUUAAGGACAAUUUGUUUUGGAUUAAACUUUUUUUUUGCCAAAUUG